AGCUCACCAAAUUUCCCCCAAUUUUUUCCAAAAUCACAACCCUAGGUUCCCCCUGCAACAAAACAACUGGAGAUCCCUAAAAUUGGCAUAGUCGUUGCUCGAAAUUGGGGUCUCCUUGCUGGCAAUUGGGGGCAUUUUGGCGAAUCUAUGUUUUGGUUCAAUUGAAAAAGUUGAAAAAGAUAUGGAAGUGAGAGAAGCAAGGUAGGCAAGGUAGGCUUCACGAUGUUAUUGUGGAAAUGUGGCAAGAAUUAUAACUUCUUGGACUGAUUCAAACUCAGGAAGACUAUUUCAAGUUUGUCCACUCUCAAAGGUAAGGUUCUUGGAUCAAUUCAAAUCUAGGUUUGUUGUUAAUGGGUUGAAACAAUGAAUUUUUUGUGGUGGGUUGAUGCAGGGAAGAGUUAACAAAGGAUGUGGUUUUUGGGAGUGGGUUGAUGAUGAAAUGUAUGAUCGUUCCAAGAUGGUGAUACCUUGCUGAGGAAAAUUGAUAGGUUGGAAGAGGAGAAUGCAAAGAUUUAUGGAUGUAAGAGGUGUUGUAAUGUGUUAAUGGAUGUAAUAUGGUUGUAUUUGGCAAUGUAAUAGGUGUUGUAAUAUGUUAAUUUUGCAAUGUAAUAGGUGUUGUAAUAUGUUAACUGUGUUUUGGUAUGAAUUGGAUAUGAAGUUUGCAAGUUUGGA
rnacentral:lncRNA from 1 species